rnacentral:rRNA from 1 species
CCCUUAGAUGUCCUGGGCCGCACGCGUGCUACACUGAUGCAUACAGCGAGUACUCCCAGCUCCGAGAGGCUGCUGGUAAUCAGCAAUAUGCAUCGUGAUGGGGAUAGAUCUUUGGAAUUAUAGAUCUUGAACGAGGAAUUCCUAGUAAUCGCAGGUCAUCACCCUGCGUUGACUAAGUCCCUGCCCUUUGUACACACCGCCCGUCGCUCCCACCGAUUUCGAGUGAUCCGGUGAAUCAUUCGGACCGCGGCCCCUAGGCAUGCGGAAAGUCUAGUAAACCAUAUCACUUAGAGGAAGGAGAAGUCGUAACA